rnacentral:rRNA from 1 species
CCCUUAGAUGUUCUGGGCUGCACACGUGCUACACUGGCAGGUUCAGCGAGCUUCAUGCCCUGAUCUGAAAGGAAUGGGAAAUCUUUUCAAAACCUGCCGUGCUUGGGAUAGAUGUUUGCAAUUAUUCAUCUUCAACGAGGAUUGCCUUGUAAGCGCACGUCAUCAGCGUGCAUUGAAUACGACCCUGUAUUCUGUACACACCGCCCGUCGCUCCUACCGAUUGAAGUUUUCAGUGAGUUGACAGGAGGAUUUUUUUGAAACUGGUUCGCCAGUGGAUUUUAGAUCCAAAUGCCAACGAAUCGAUGGCUUUAGAGGAAGGAGAAGUCGUAACA